rnacentral:lncRNA from 1 species
UCAUUUGAGACACUGUGCCAAGUGUCUCUCAACAGACAAUGCUGAAGGUUCGUGUCGAAGCCCUUUUCAGGCCUGCCGCCAGCUAGAACCACAAGAAAUCUAGCAAGCAUCCUAAGCUACAUCACAAGCCAUUUGAUCUGAGCCACUGAAAACGCUUCUGCUAAAAUGGUGCAACACUGAAUAGAUAGGAGGAAGAGCAACCUACGGUGUACGAGGGAUUGCAUGCUUACCUUUGGGAGGCAUACGUAUUUCCCCAUUUUGAUACUGAUACGUUCGCAAGGCGCUUCAAAGGUCAGUAAAUGCUGAACGCGAUGGGCGUGUUCAUUUCGUUCUCUUCUUUCUAAGAUGCCGUGUUCCGAGAGUGAAAGCAGCGAGAAACAAUUGCUUCAUCUGCUAAGCACAGCAGAAACCUGUCUGACACUGCGAGGUGCAGUUGUACGCAGACUGCGUCUGCUUUUCAUUAUUUCCUUCUGGGAAAUGUAGCCUACAUCAAUGAAUGGGUUCUGCACUACCGUUUUGAGGAUGUUUGUAAAGACUAUAAUUUUUCCUCUAUGAGGAGGAUUUACUGUUUGAUAGAGUGCUUGCAGAAGGCGCAUCGUUUACUUAUAAGCUUCUAAAUAAUCUAAACCCCGCUGUUCCCGCUGGAGCAAGUGAUAGUUGAACACUGGAAUAUUUUAGGCGAUUUUAAGUGAAUAUUUUUUACAAGCGCAUGCCCUUUUCCAUGAUAAGUACGUUACUUCUGCACAGAUACCGAACCAGUGUGCAUCAUAAGAUAUGGUGAAGAAACUGCUGUUCAAACAGCUCCCAUUUUGUCUACUCCUAGGUACCUUGCAGGCAUGUACCAAAGAGAACGCAGGUGAUGGUGACGGAGUGGCAGUUACAAGCACGGAUGAAGAGGCAAACGGCGUUUUAAUCGCUGCUUGUUGAAAAGCACAUGGAAGACGAAUGAUUCAAGAUUGAGUGCGAUCUCGCAAUGAGCAAAUGUCAGGGCAGACGUCACUUCAGUGGAUAUGAAAAGGAAGGCUGAAUAGCUAGUUCUUAUGUAAAUAAAGAUUCUUCAUUGUGAAUA